GCCGGCCCUGUGGCCGAGUGGUUGAAUUCGCGCGCUUUGCUGCAGGCGGCCCAGUGUUUCGUUGGUUCGAAUCCUGGGCGCGGACAUGGCACUGCUCAUCAAACCACGCUGAGGCGGCGUCCCACAUGCCACAAUUAGCAGGACCCACAACUAAGAAUAUACAACUAUGUACCGGGGGGACUUUGGGGAGAAAAAGGAAAAAAUAAAAUCUUAAAAAAAAAAAAUCAGAUGUAUUGUUCUUUCCUUUCCUUAAUGAACUCUACCAUACUUUGUCUUCUCCAGUAAAUUGCAAAUGAGUCACAGUUCGGAAAUUAAUUCUAAAAGAAAGCAACUUUUCAAGCAUGGAAAUGUACUUGCUAAGAACAUUCUCAUCAAACUAAGUCAGUUUUGGAAGCUGACUGAUGCUUCUCUUCCUGAAGCCUGUCAAUGUAACACUUCCCACGGUACCCUUUCAACCUCUAGCUCCAGGGCUGAAGUUAGCACAACUCCAAAUUCUUUUUCUUUUUUUCACCCAAAGUCAUGCACGUGUGUGUAUAUAUUGAAAUGUGAGAUCACCUCCCUCCUCGAGAGCUCAACAUUUUGCUCCACUUAGCAGCCAUAAAGAUCUGUAUGGUCAAGUCACGUCAAGCCAGAAGUGAAUGUCAUAACUGACAAAGUGUAUAUCAGCAGUUACUGACCUUUUGGAGAAGAUAAGAGCCGAACAUAAAGGAAGAGAAUAUAAAGAAAGAAUACCAAACUGCAGUGCUUUGUUGAAGUGGUAAAUCCUAUCUGAUUUGUAUGUAUUUACCAACACAGCUCAAAUUCUCAAAGAUGCAAUGCAUAUCCUUUUCAGCUUAGGAUUUUACUCCUCCUUAAACAAUGAGAUGGAAGCCUUGUUUUGUUUGUGUUACUUAUAACAUCUGAAUAGAAGGUUAGCCCCUUGAGGUCAGGGAAUUUGUCUCACUUAUCCUGUUAUAAGCUUAGCACGUAUAAAGGUGCCUGGUACUUGUACGAUUAAUAUUACUUGAAUGAAUGCUUCUAUAAAUAUUUGUUGAAUUUAACAAAACUGAAGGAUCAUAUUUCUUCUGGUUGGGAACAUAUCCUAACUUUCUGUGUUCUGCUAACGCUGCGGUUUAUCUCUGAGUUUCCACAGGCUGAAUCACACCGAAGAAGAAUUACCAGAUAGUACUAGCUAAGAUAGUAACUACAAAUGAAAAAAACAUCUAGAGAGUCAACAAUUUAUGUAAUCUUUCUUAUAAACUGUCCACCGCCAGAGCCUGCCAAGAGUCCACCUCCUUACCUCUGGGGGUAUAGUGGAAUAUUUUGAUGUUGUAAGAGAAAAAUUGCACUGGAUACAUGUUUAUAACAGCAAGGAAGACUUUAUCCAAAACAACUGCAGUAGAGAUCAAGACUAUUGCAUUGGGAGAGAGAGGCUGAACUCAACUCCACUGAAACAAAAGGCUUUUGUUUUUAAACACUAGGGAGAGCUAUGAGCUAGUGCGAAACUACUAGAGGAUGUUGGGAGAGGAGGUUAGUCAAAGUUAUUAGGCCAUCUGUGUUUGCUAAUCGGCAUUUAUCAAAGUUAGGCUCCUACUCUCCCACAGAGACUGGAAAUCAAGGAACCUAUCUUUCUUGAUGACUACAUUGCAAAGGGAGGGCUCCAAGGUACUCUAGAAAGACAGUCCUGGGUUGUAAAAUUGUCAAGAACCUGGGAGAAGAUUUAUAUCUCAAAAAAUCAGAGAAAGAAUUUACAGUUGAAGGUUUUCUUUGGUAGAUGCUCCUAGAAAAGGAGGUCAGGGGACUAUAGGCAAGAAGUCUGUCUAAAAUUUAGUGAAGCUGUCUUGGUCAAUGCAUUUCGGGAGACAUGAGAAUGAGAACUGUGACACUGGAGAAUAGCUGAAAAAUUCAGGAGCAACUUCUUGGUAAGAACAUGCUCCCCACUUGUUCCUAUGUACAAAAAUGUGAUUCUCUAAGGUGCCUCAAAUUCUUCAUUUGCUUGAUUAUAUUUACUGAAGUUACAUUAAUAGAAAUUCAUUUGAGCUAUCAAGCAUUCUUUUAAAGUCCAAAUAUUUUUUAAGUCAAUCAUUCAAGAAAAGUGAAGAGUAUUUCGUCAAUAUGAACAGAAAAUUAAAAACUGGUUUUCAAAAGACUUGUUUGGAGGCAAUAUAGAGAUUUCAGCGCCUUGUUCAAAUUUUGACUUCACCUGCUGUCAGCUAAAUGACCUUGAGCAAGUUAUUCACACUAUAGUCUUUCUAAGUAUAUUGACAUUAUAAGUGCUUGGAAGUAUACCUAAAAGAGAAGUGUUAGCUAUUUCUAUUCGUGUUUCAGAAAUGGAAGAAAUUUUAAAAUGUCUUCCUAAAACUAGAGAAAUAAAAAUUUUCAAAUGCUUUUCA
rnacentral:lncRNA from 1 species